rfam:Endozoicomonas elysicola strain DSM 22380 scaffold00001, whole genome shotgun sequence.
UAAUAGCUGAUGCACGGUUAAAUGUAAUAACGGAGACGAUUGAAUGGCCCGUAUUGCUGGCGUCAACAUUCCAGAU